rnacentral:rRNA from 1 species
AAACACGGACCAAGGAGUCUAACAUGUGCGCGAGUCACUCGGUCUUGAUUAGGCCAGGGAGGCGCAAUGAAGGUAAACUAUAGUUUUCGCAAGAAAACUUUGUUACGAUCCUAACAAUUCAGUUGCAAUUUUGUAACUGUUGUUUGGCGCAGUAACGGCCUGCCAAUUUCGCCUAUUGACGAUCUGGCAGAGUUAUAGCGUACACGUUGGUACCCGAAAGAUGGUGAACUAUGCCUGGGCAAGACGAAGCCAGAGGAAACUCUGGUGGAGGUCUGUAGCGAUUCUGACGUGCAAAUCGAUCGUCCGACCUGGGUAUAGGGGCGAAAGACUAAUCGAACCAUCUAGUA